AUAUAUAUAUAUAUAUAUAUAUCUCACUCACUCACUACAUAAACAUAUUCACAGGACACUCAACUUAUCUCUUUUCCUACAUCAGAUAUGCAGGUGACAUUUCCACCAGGAUGACAGCACAUAAUCAGAAAAACGGAGAUGCUCUUCAUCCGAGGGACUGCCUGCCCAUUCUCAGAUGUUAGAUAAUCCGAGAUGAUCACUUCAUUUACAUUCCAGCCCUAACCUGAACGUUCUGCUUCUUCCUCCACACCAUCCAGCGAUGACCCCAAGAUGCUAAGUCGGGCGGCAGCGUAGCCUAGUGGUUAGAGCGUUGGACUAGUAACCGAAAGGUUGCGAGUUCAAACCCCCGAGCUGACAAGGUACAAAUCUGUCGUUCUGCCCCUGAACAGGCAGUUAACCCACUGUUCCCAGGCCGUCAUUGAAAAUAAGAAUGUGUUCUUAACUGACUUGCCUGGUUAAAUAAAGGUUAAAUAUAUAUAUAUUUUUUAAAGUCAGAGCCUUGUCAGCUCCAGAUUUGACUACUUCAACUCACAUCCUGCUGGAAUCCCUGCAUUCUCAGAUUCCCCUCUGUUAUUAAUCUCUAUAUUGUAAUCAAUAAAAAGUGUUUCAAAAUGCUGUACUUUUAUUAACAUAUUAUGUUCAGAUCACACCUGAGAAGGGGUGUAAUAUAUCCAGAUGGGCGUGUGGUACCCUUCCUCACCCAUGGCAAAAAGAUGUUACUUCUUGUGGGGUCUUUACUUAUACUCUCAUACUUACUUUCAAGGCAAUGUACAAUGAACCUACUGAAAGAAUAAGAAUAAGACUAAAAGGCUAAACAGAACUGUCAAAUUAUAUUAUAGCUGUGUUGUAUACUUAAAAUCUUAAGUGUUAGAAUCUUAAGUGUGACAAUUUUGUUGAGGAAAACAACUGAAAUGUCCAAUUGUUUUCCCCAGUUUGCGGUGUUCUGAAGGAGGAGUCGAUUUGCCUUUUCAAAUACGGACAAAGAUGUUAACAUCACGAGAGAAGAAAUAGCUGUCACUCUCCUCAAACACUGAUAACCCGAGCCACUCCUGUGGGGAGGUGGACAAUAAUGAGGAAGACACUAACUUGAUUGGUUGUGCCCACGAUGGUUCCACCAGUCCUGUAUGAAAACCACCUCAUCAUUGUAGGAUUAUGUCUGCGCUGCGUGUCAGGACUAGGUUAGGCUUGAGUUCCAGGCGACGGUAUCACCUGGAAAACGUUCCAUAAAAAGUGGACUAAAUGUUCAGUCGAGCGGUUGCAGCUUUCCAAUAUUUGUUUGUUAUUUGUCUUUUUUAGGGGGGGCUUUUCGGCACAACACCUGUUUAGGGGAGAGUUUCGCCGGGGGAGAGGACUUUACAAGUAGGCAGUCAUUGUAAAUAAUAAUUUGUUCUUAAAUGACUUGCCUAGUUAAGUAAUGCUUAAAAACAAAUAACAUAGCAUUUCUGUGCUAGCGUUUAGCAUGUUGUCACUUUCCUCUUCUGCUAUCUACAAUACGAGACGAGCUGGUUUCAGUGAAACUGUCUAGCAAAUGAGCAAUGCGAUUGAUUAACGUUAAUUGAUGUUGAGUGUUAGCUAGUUUGACAACUAGGUUAGCUAGCUAGCCAAGUGUUCUGCUAGCAAAGGGCUAACGUUAGCUGGCUAAACUGUUAUGGUACUUUAUACUAACGAGAUUGCAGCCUCACUUUACAUAACUAUCUACGUAUUUUACCUAUUUAAUUAGUAAUUGAACCAUUAUUU